rnacentral:rRNA from 1 species
GGACGAACGCUGGCGGCGUGCUUAACACAUGCAAGUCGAACGAUGAACCGCUUUCGGGGCGGGGAUUAGUGGCGAACGGGUGAGUAACACGUGGGCAAUCUGCCCUGCACUCUGGGACAAGCCCUGGAAACGGGGUCUAAUACCGGAUAUGACUGUCCAUCGCAUGGUGGAUGGUGUAAAGCUCCGGCGGUGCAGGAUGAGCCCGCGGCCUAUCAGCUUGUUGGUGAGGUAGUGGCUCACCAAGGCGACGACGGGUAGCCGGCCUGAGAGGGCGACCGGCCACACUGGGACUGAGACACGGCCCAGACUCCUACGGGAGGCAGCAGUGGGGAAUAUUGCACAAUGGGCGAAAGCCUGAUGCAGCGACGCCGCGUGAGGGAUGACGGCCUUCGGGUUGUAAACCUCUUUCAGCAGGGAAGAAGCGAAAGUGACGGUACCUGCAGAAGAAGCGCCGGCUAACUACGUGCCAGCAGCCGCGGUAAUACGUAGGGCGCAAGCGUUGUCCGGAAUUAUUGGGCGUAAAGAGCUCGUAGGCGGCUUGUCACGUCGGUUGUGAAAGCCCGGGGCUUAACCCCGGGUCUGCAGUCGAUACGGGCAGGCUAGAGUUCGGUAGGGGAGAUCGGAAUUCCUGGUGUAGCGGUGAAAUG